rnacentral:lncRNA from 1 species
UUUAAGGGGUUUAUCAUAUCAUUCUGUUAAAUAUUAUUUUUAAAUAGUUUCUUAGAAGUGUUCAUAUGGUGUUGUCAUGGCUUUGCCGAAGUAUAAUACUCAGUUGACAUCGUAGUUUCAAGGGAUGAGAUACAACACUUGGUUGAUAUCUCAUAUGUUAGAUUGUAUUUGUUUUUAAAAUAUUCAACUUUUAUCAUUAGCUAAAGUUACAAACCGAAAAAAUCGAACCAAACCGACAAGAAUCAAACCGAUGGUUAUUUUUUUAUUUGGUUUGGUUUGGUUUUAGAUUUAAAACCGACUAAGUUGGUUUGGUUAUGGUUUUGACCAAUAACCGACCCAAACCGACCCAUGAACAUCCCUACAUAUAGGCUUGCUUUACCUCCGAGAUUAUCGACAGUUCAUCCUAUGUUUCACGUGUCUAUGCUUAGACGGUAUGUCCGUGAUGAUAGCCAUAAGAUCCAGCCAGAAGAUGUAGAGCUUGAUGAGAAUCUGACUUAUGAGGAAAGCCCGAUAGCUGUUCUUGAUAGGCAAGUGCGACAGUUGAGGUCGAAGAAGAUAGCUUCAGUCAAGGUAUUAUGGCGAAAUCAUCCAACCGAGUAGGCUACUUGGGAGUCCGAGGAGGAGAUGGGAGUUAGAUAUCCUCACUUAUUCGACACUUCAGAUAUGAUUCUAUCUUCGUUCGAGGACGAACGUUAUUUUAAGUGGGGGAGAAUGUAAUAACCCAGAUUUUUUUUUUUUUCAUUAAAAGUAGAAAUCUGGCCAUAUCAUUAUAUUAAUUUAAGAGAAGUGGGGAGAGGGCCACACCCACUUCCUUGUGUCUAUUUUAUAAUUAAACAACAACAAACAACAACAACAAACCCAGUGUAUUCCCACUUAGUGGGGUUUGGGGGGUAAGAUGUACGCAGUCCAUACCUCUACCUCUGAUGAAGUAGAAAGGCUGUUUCCGAAAGACCCCCGGCUCAAGUCACGAGAUAUCACACAAACACAUAGUACAGCACAGAAGCAGAUGACAUAACAUAGAUACGGCACCCAUAAGGAAUAUAAAACAGAGUAAAGCAGUAAUGCAGGAAUAUAAAGCAGAGGAAAACACACAGAUUCGUAAUAAACAUGGAACACGAAACACGGAACACUGAAUACGGAAUCAGUGGAACAAUAUUAUUUUCUGAAGAGCAAAGCAUCAGUUGAGGCUUUUGGGUGGCUUAUAGAAUACAGAACAUUCUUGCUGCUGUCAAGUACAGGUAACAACCUUAAUUUGCCUGGUAGUGGUAUUGCUUAUUUAUGUGUAUGUGUCGAAAAUUUUAUAAAGUGAUCAUAACCCCAUUCUUCUAAUAAUUAGCUUAUAACCGAAGGAUGAUAAUGACGAGUGGUUAAUAGGGCUAGAGUUGUGACGGUUGGAAGUUUGUCAUUUGAAGCCAUCUAGACCACCUAUAUAAUAUAGCUCCUUUACAAAUGUUUUUUUUUCUUUUUUGGAAACUGAUAUUGUUAAGAUCCAUCACAAAUGUAUAGAUUACAACUAGUUUUAACAAAAUUCAAAAUUAAUUAGGAGUAAACAAGCCCAACUAAACAUAUACAUAAGACAUCUAGAUUUGAGGAAUUGGUGAGUAAUUAAUAUUCCAUCAAAGCAUCUUUUGAUAUUUUCUAAAGGAAUCAUUUUUCAAGCUUUCCUGAUGCUGCUAUUAACUUCCCAACAAUUCCAACUCUCAAAAGCAUCCUAAAUAUUUUGUGGUAUGACCCAUACUCCAAAGAGAGAAACAUAUUCCAUAGAUCUGAUACAACUGAACACUGUAAGAAUAGAUGGAUUCUGACUCCCACUAGCACAUAUAGCAUCUAUUAACAAUCUGAAAGUUUCUCUUGACAGUUAUCCAGUUUAUAGAGUGUGGGUCCAGCUGAAACUGACGACUUUAGGAGUUUAAGGUGUUUGAGUUUUCGGGAGCAUAUUUUGAUUUACUAGAAGGCGGUGC